rnacentral:ncRNA from 1 species
UAGAAUGAUAAAAAUAAGAAUAGUAGGCCCAUUUCAUCCACAACUUCAGAAAAAGGAUUGCUUGCUGUAACCGUGUGGAUUGGCCUAUUGGCUGAUGCUUAUACGGAUUUAUCAAUUGCCGAUAUCAGAGCAAUUGAUGAUGUCGGACUAGUGAUAAGGUCGUCUUGUAUCCAUCUAUUGAUGUGUGCUUUGUUUUCGAUCUAAGUAUCUUCAUCGAGCAUUGUAACGUUUGAGCUGUAACUGAUGCGGAAUUGGGGAAUCCGAUUGUCUAUUUGAAACAGAGGAGUUAAAUGGUUUUUGCGAACGAUUACUGUCUCAUAUUGCUGCCCAGUGGUCUGAAUGGUUAGUAGAAAAUCCAGUAAGCACGAGUAGACGGCGGGAGUAACUAUGUCUCUUUUAAGGUGGCCUCAUUUGACUAGUGACGCGCAUGGAUGGAUAAAUGAGAUUUCCACUAUCACUAACUACUAUCUAGUGAAACCACAGUUAAGGGUACGGGCUUGAUAAAAGUAGCACGGAAAGAAGACACUGUUGAGAUUGACAUUGUGAAGCAUCAGGAGAGGUGUAGCAUAGGUGGGUGAUUGAUGACUAAUAAUCGUUGAUCGAGUGCUACCACUCUCAUCGACUCUUUACUUAAUCGGUAGGAAGAGGUUUUGUCUUGACUAUCAUUGCGAGUACAGACUACGAAAGCGUAGCCUAUCGAGCCAUUGAAUCCAGAUAGUUUCUGGUAAGAGGUCUCAAAUAAGGGAUAAGAGUUAGUAGGGAAUUAAUAUGAUUUCGUUUAUGAAUAUUGUGAUAUCGCAUAGAUAUUAUAUGAUAUAUCAACAUAUAUGUCACUAACGUCUACGUUGACAGCAUUUCUCAUUUCUACUCGUUAUUUAACUGUCUAUUGUAGG